GUGUCUAAAUUUCAGCAAUUGCUUAGUGUAUCGAAUGGGAGGAACCUCACUUGACAUCACUGUAUUGAAGGUGAUGGGAGGAAUCUACCAACUAAGGUCAAAUAUUCACAGAGCUUCUGUUGGAGGGAAUACAUUAACAAGGUUACUGAGAGAUUUUUGUGCACAGGAAUUCCAAAAGCAGUACAGGGUUGAUAUCCGGGAGAGUAAAAGAUCUUUGUGGAAACUACAUAGUGCAGCAGAAACCUGUAAACACGUUCUCAGUACCAUAGGCUCGGCACAGUGUUUUGCUGAAUCUCUGCAUGAAGGCAUUGACUUUAGUAUCAAUGUAACUAGGUAAAAAAAUCAGUUUCAUUUAUUUUACAACAGUGU